rnacentral:rRNA from 1 species
UACGUAGGGGGCAAGCGUUGUCCGGAAUCAUUGGGCGUAAAGCGCGUGUAGGCGGCCCGGUAAGUCCGCUGUGAAAGUCCAGGGCUCAACCCUGGAAAGCCGGUGGAUACUGUCGGGCUAGAGUCCGGAAGAGGCGAGUGGAAUUCCUGGUGUAGCGGUGAAAUGCGCAGAGAUCAGGAGGAACACCCGUGGCGAAGGCGGCUCUCUGGGUCCGCCCUGACGCUGAGGCGCGAAAGCGUGGGGAGCGAACGGG